UACGUAGGCAGCAAGCGUUGUUCGGAAUUACUGGGCGUAAAGAGUGUGUAGGCGGUUUUCUAAGUUUGGUGUGAAAUCUCCCGGCUUAACUGGGAGGGUGCGCCGAAAACUGGAAGGCUUGAGUACCGGAGAGGAUAGCGGAAUUCCACGUGUAGCGGUGAAAUGCGUAGAUAUGUGGAAGAACACCAGUGGCGAAAGCGGUUUUCUAGCUAUUUCCUGACGCUGAGGCGCGAGAGCAUGGGGAGCAAACAGG
rnacentral:rRNA from 1 species